rnacentral:piRNA from 1 species
UGGGCCAGUGCGUUGGAAGACGGUGACC